AGAAGAGAUCACGAGAGCCACUGCACAGUGCCAACAAGUUCAAGGUCAAGGAAACCCAACAAUCCCUGUGGGAUUGAUGAGGAUCUGCACCAAGACAGAGGACUUGCUUUGAGGUUCGAGGAAGCAGCUAUUUAACAUAUCCAGACUCAGGACUUCCCCAUGCCAGAUUCCUAGAAAUACCUCCGUUUGGCUUUCAUUUGGGCUCCCCUCUUCCUGAGAUUGAAGGAGGAAGAUCUAUGAAUCACUGAAGCAACUGGAAGCCAUUAACACAGACAGAAGAGACACCAGGGAGCUCCACUUCUUUUUCCACGUGGAAUUCUCUCAUUAUCCUGCACAGACCCAACCCUGGAACACUGAGGGGAGCCAGAGCAAAGGGCAUGCACAUACCGGCCACAGGUUUGGCAAAGAGACUUUGGAGGAUGUGAAAGAGGACAAGGGUGUGAUGGGAUAUAUGAUGGCAGCUUUCCUGAAAUCACAACCGCUGCCCAGGAUGCUUUUCUUCAGGGGAGCAACAGCCGCCCUUCCCGCUGUCCUUUCAAUCGUAGCAGAGAGACAGCCGAG
rnacentral:lncRNA from 1 species